rnacentral:rRNA from 1 species
UGGGGAAUCUUGCGCAAUGGGCGAAAGCCUGACGCAGCGACGCCGCGUGAGUGAUGAAGGCCUUCGGGUUGUAAAGCUCUGUGGGGAGAGACGAAUAAGUGCAAGCUAAUACCUUGCAUGAUGACGGUAUCUCCUUAGCAAGCACCGGCUAACUCUGUGCCAGCAGCCGCGGUAAGACAGAGGGUGCAAACGUUGUUCGGAAUUACUGGGCGUAAAGCGAGUGUAGGCGGUUUCCUAAGUCAGGUGUGAAAGCCCCGGGCUCAACCCGGGAAGUGCACUUGAAACUGGGAGGCUAGAGUACUGGAGAGGUUGGUGGAAUUCUCGGUGUAGAGGUGAAAUUCGUAGAUAUCGAGAGGAACACCGGUGGCGAAGGCGGCCAACUGGACAGAUACUGACGCUGAGACUCGAAAGCGUGGGGAGCAAACA